GUCAGUGGUCGUUUCUUCUAAAAGGGAAAAACAAAAAAUAGUUUUGGUUUAUUUGGGUUUCGUCCAUGCAGCGUUUCAGUUUGGACAAAUUUAAUUCACGUAGUCAUUUCUGGAAAAUCUCAGCACAGUUGCUCCACCUCCCUCGCUGAGAUCAUCAAGAAUGAUAAUUUCAGCCAAUCCUUUGCUUACCCAUAGGGAAGCAUUAGGAGGUUAGCACCUUUAGUGGUCC